GUCCCCAUCGUCUAGAGGCCCAGGACGACGCCCUCUCACGGCGUAAACCGGGGUUCGAAUCCCCGUGGGGACGCCA
rnacentral:tRNA from 1 species